UAAUAGAUAUAGACUUGAAACUUAAAGAAUUUGGCGGUAUUUUAAUCUUUUCAGAGGAACCUGUUCUAUAAUCGAUAUUCCACGUUAAAUUUUACUAAAUUAUUUAUAUAUCGUUGUCGAAAGAAUAAAUUUUCUAAUAUUUUAAAGUAAAUAGAUGUCAAAUCAAGGUGUAGUUUAUAAUUUAGAAGAAAUGGGUUACAAUAAAUUUAUUUAGAAAAUUUUGGAAGGAGGAUUUGAAAGUAAAUUAAUUUUAAUAAAU
rnacentral:rRNA from 1 species